rnacentral:rRNA from 1 species
UGGGGAAUAUUGCACAAUGGGCGAAAGCCUGAUGCAGCAACGCCGCGUGCGGGAUGACGGCCUUCGGGUUGUAAACCGCUUUCAGCAGGGACGAAGGUUUUCUGACGGUACCUGCAGAAGAAGCACCGGCUAACUACGUGCCAGCAGCCGCGGUGAUACGUAGGGUGCGAGCGUUGUCCGGAAUUAUUGGGCGUAAAGAGCUUGUAGGCGGUCCGUUGCGUCGGAAGUGAAAACUCAGGGCUUAACCCUGAGCCUGCUUUCGAUACGGGCGGACUUGAGGGAUGUAGGGGAGAACGGAAUUCCUGGUGGAGCGGUGGAAUGCGCAGAUAUCAGGAGGAACACCAGUGGCGAAGGCGGUUCUCUGGACAUUUCCUGACGCUGAGAAGCGAAAGCGUGGGGAGCAAAUCAGGCUUAGAUACCCUGGUAGUCCACGCCGUAAACGGUGGGCACUAGGUGUGGGACCCAUUCCACGGGUUCCGUGCCGUAGCUAACGCAUUAAGUGCCCCGCCUGGGGAGUACGGCCGCAAGGCUAAAACCUUAAAGGAAUUGACGGGGUCAUAGCUGUUU